CGUGUAGCCGGGCCGACAAGUCAGAUGUGAAAUCCGCGGGCUUAACCCGCGAACUGCAUUUGAAACUGUUGAUCUUGAGUAUCGGAGAGGUAACCGGAAUUCCUAGUGCAGCGGUGAAAUGCGUAGAUAUUAGGAAGAACACCAGUGGCGAAGGCGGCCUGCUGGACUGUAACUGACGCUGAGGCUCGAAAGCGUGGGAGCAAACA
rnacentral:rRNA from 1 species